GCGCCCAUAGCUCAGUUGGAUAGAGCACUCGCCUUCUAAGCGAGAUGUCGCAGGUUCGAAUCCUGCUGGGCGCGCCA
rnacentral:tRNA from 1 species